AAUGAAAAAAGGUAAACCGAUCGAAAGGCCGGGACACAAAGCUCCAGAUCUAAGGUCUAUACUAAAAGACUAUGAUGGCUGAGCCGCUUCG
rnacentral:ncRNA from 1 species